CGUCUGGUUAAAGAGCAUGUGAGGGUGGGCAAGGGCCUGUGCCUGGGAGGGUGCACCAGCCCCCCAGACCGGGGCCAGAGAGCAGAUGGGGGUGCUCGGGAGCCAUGGGUCCUGAUUAUUGCUGAGUUACCACGUGAUCAAGCCAUUGUCCACGGAGCUGGACCCCGUGCCUGACUUGACACUGGUUUCUGGGUUUGCAGCCUCCAGGAAGGUGGAGGUUGGAGAAGAUGCUGGAAUCACCCAGCUGCUCCCUCUCCAGGGGUCCCUAGUGUGUGUGCUACUGCCCCGACCCCCCUGGGAGUCCCAGGCCCCCGCCCAGGGAUCCUAAGCCUUAAAUGGGUGGGAACCCUAGAACCUGCACUGCAAGGAUACCCUGUCUCUGCCCAGGCCUGGGCAGGAGACUGGCUUUGGCCUGGGGAUAGGAGAUACUGGGUGAGUCCCUCCCUUCCUCUGAGGCUCCCUGGCCCUCUGUGAGAGGGGUUACUGCUUUCUGCUUCCAUGGCUGCUUCUACCAAAAGUUCUGUGGGAUGCUGCCGAGGAACGUGCCAUGGCCUGUGUUUGGCACACAGUAGGCACUUGUCAAUGUGACCAUCCUGGCAACUCCAGCACCAGCAAGUACUAAGCAACACAACAGUCAUGAGAGCUGACCUGCUGCAUGCUUCUCAUGCUAAGUGUUGCCUUCCGCACAAUUUGGGGACCUGGGCACCUUUUUGGCCCCUUUUACAGAAGAGACCAGUGAGGUUUAGAGAGCAGGCUUGCAGGGGAAGUGGACGGACUGGGCCGCAAACUCAGGCCUCUUUGUCUGGCCUGGCCCACGUGCCUUCUCCCAUUAGGUGGAGAAACAGUGGCCCUGGAGCUGUCUGUGGCAGUGCGGUUACUAUAGCAGCCACCUCAGCCCCCGAGAGGGGAAGUGGAAAAUAGGCCAGAGCAGUAAUGAGGCUGCACGGUUCUGAUCUGUCCCCUGAUGGGAUCAGGCUUCACAAGCCUUCUUCCCACAUCAGAGGCAGCCCAGUGUCUGGGCCGUGGAUCAAAGGCCAGUCGUCUCUGCGCCCAGACACUGCGCCUGGCUCAGGCCUCAGAAGGUCCCCCCUUGAUCCUCCCACAGUGAGUCAUGCUGUUGCUGGCACCAGCCUCUGCCUGUUCCCUAAGGAUGUCACUUGCUGCCUGGAUCGGCAGUGAGCAGCGGUCCUGAGAAGGGCUCGUGCCCCAAACAGCUUGCACGGGGCUGCCCGAGACCCCACCUUGGGACCCAUAUGGCUUCCUUUCAAGGGGCAGCUCAUGGAGGGCAAGGGGCUUUUCAUGCUGGCAAACCCAGGUUUGACUCUGUGGUCCAUGUGGGGCUCUGGUCCUCUGACUCCCUUCCUCCGAUGGUCAACGUCCUUGUCUCAGUGCUGUGCAAAGAGGUGAUGCCUGCAAUGGCUCAGAAUGCAGCAGAGCAGACACAAGUCCUGCCUCCCCAUCAUGCUGUGGGACCUUGACCACACAUUCAACCUCUCUGAGCCUGUUUCCUCAUCCUCUUGUGACGAUGAAACAAGGUGACAAGUUUGCUCAAACCUUGUCUUCUCAGGCGGCUUCUCUAGCAACUGAACCCCACCCCUGCUCUCCCACCAAAAUCUAUAUAAUUUAUUUAUGCAGUAGGGUUACUGUUCCUUGUCCAACUGCCCCCCUGGAAUGUCAGCCCCUCUGGCGUGAGAGCAGGGAUCUUCCAUUUGUUUUCUAACGUAUCCCAAGUAAUAGAACAGCGCCGGGCAUGCAGUGGACGGAAGCUUGUUGAGUGAUUAUGUGUGGUCCCUAGAGCAGGACGGCUGCAUCAGUGACCACCCCCGUUUUCUCUCUGGCUCCCUCUCCUUUCCUGGCACAACCCCAGGCUUCUGCUGUGACCUCACCCCAUGCAUUCACAUCCCCCUCUGGUCCUGGAGCCCCUGGGCCUCAGCUUGGGAAAGGCGGGGACACCUGAGCCAACAGCCUGGGUCUGUGUGGUCCAUGGAAGCCUCUGCCCACGCCCCCAUGUGAGGUCGGGCCUCCUCUGCCAGCUCUGGGGAAAUUUCCAGAAGGGCUCCUGAGACGCAAGGAGGGGAGCAGCUUGUCCCAAUCUUCAUAGCUAAGACCACAGGGUUCUGGGCUCGGGGUUCCCUCUCUGCCGAAGACCCCUGGGGGCCACAUCUGCCCAGUGAGGUUGUGACGGGUGGGUAUGAGCUGCCCUGGGAUGCCCUAGAAGACCACAGACCCGGCCUCCUCCAGAAUUCCGGCCUCUCCCUGCCUGUCUCCUGUCUCCCUCCCCGGAAUCCAGUUCCUUCCAGAGAAACCAAAGUGAACCCACUGAGAGCGCCCAGAAUAAACAGUGACUAUAGGAGGAGACCCACCCCCGUGGAGCAGGGAGGAGGAUCGGGAAACACAGACAGAACCGAAGUGCAAGUGGGCUCCCGGCUUCCUGUCCUCAAGAUGCUUAUGUGAAGGAGAUGCACCAGAAAAUUCCACUCAGCAAAGGCUGCUCCUCGUAAUUAACGCUGCAGGGAAACAAGGACAGAACAGCAAAGGGCUCAUCCGGGGCAGGUCCACCGACGUGGGGUCACGUGGGCUAUGUCCCUGGGGCUUCAGGACCCGUGUCACCCCCUCAGCAUGCAGAGACCUGGGCGGGGGGACCAGGUGGGGGGGGUGUGGAGGCGGGGGCUCCUGGGGACCCUGCAUGUUAGUGCCCAGAAGCUCCUGGUGUCUUCCCCCUGCAGACACGGGGGAAGGGCAAGUCCCUUCCUUCUCUCCGAGCAGAGGAGUUUCAGAUCUGUCAGCCCCUUCAUGGCAUCUGCAACGCACGGGAUCUUGGAAUUAGAGCAUCUUUCACAGACUCACAGACGCUUUCACACAGUCUUUGAAUCACAGAACCUGAGAAUCCUAGAAUUCUAGAAUCAUAGGACCAUUCAAGGACUUACGGGCCUGAGAGUCGUAGAAUUAAGGAAUCUCUGGAGAAGACCUGGAGCCUCACCCACAGCUUAUUGGACCCUUGGAAUCGCAGCAUCAACUCUGAUAAACCUGGCAUUGAAACAGUCACCCUGAAGUCAGAACCGUAGCACAGGAAUCGACCUUUGUCCAGAGCCCACCUCCCACCCCCCCGGUUCAUGCAGAAGCCUUCUCUUCACUGUCCUAUAAUAACUUGAAUUCUUGCAGGGACGGGGAGCUUACCACCUGGCAGGGGAACCUGACUACUGGGCCCAUCAGGCUGCUGCUGCUGAGCCUAAAUUUGCUUCCAUGUGACCCACCCACUCCUCUGUCCACAUUUUGUGCCUUCCACCCCCCUCAACAUCCUGCCCCCACAAAGAGCUAAAUGUGAAAACUAGUGGACGGGAAACCAUUGAAGAAGCAAUUUGUCCUGGAAAAAACACAGUCCAGUUUGACCUUCAGGCUGUAGAGGUCAGUCUUCCUCCACAGCCAGCCUGGCACCAGCCGUGGGACGCUCAGCCCACAUCCAUUCACCAAGGGUUGAAAGGUGAUGAGAACAAUCGAGAUGUAGGGAGGGGUGGGGAGGCUGAGCAUGCCCUUUGAGGGGGUGGAUGAAGGGAUGCUGCCUUCUUGCACUGGAAAGGAUGCCCCGAGCCAGUGGACAAGGCUGGUCUGUGAGUCAGCCGACCUAGUCAGAGUUAUCCCAACUCUGCUACUGACUGCUAGGCUACUUUGAAUAAGUUAGGGUCUCAGAGCCUCAGUUUCUCCAUUUGUAAACUGGGCUAAUGAAGCCCACUCUUAAUCCGUGCCCAGGCUGCAGUGGACUCACUGAGGAUGCUCACUUCUUAUGUGGUCCUUGGCUCAUGGCAAGAGGGCACUCAGGUUACCUCCUUUCCCGCCUUCCAGCCUUGCCUGGGUCUUGGGGGCUGAGCAGGAUUUCUCCAGAGGAAGAAGAUGUGGAAAAGCAUUUCCAGGUGAAGGAACAGCAUGGGCAAAGCCUGGGGUCCACCAGCAUGUCAGGAGUACUUGGGGAGCAGCAUGUGUUUUAGGGGAGUCGGGAUGUGGGGGUGAAGAAGCAGUAUGGCCUGGGGGCAGUGGGGCCCUGGGUACCACUGUCCUAGAGGGCAGAGUGAGGGUGCCUGGAGCCUCGGCAGGAGCAGGUGCUUCCUGUGAAGUAGCCCCACCUCCUUUUGUCCUCAGCCUGGGGACAGAGUGCACUCGCCUGGCCUCCUGGGAUCCCAACACAAGGCAGGGCCAGGAAAGCCAAACAAAUUAAAACAUGUCAGAAACAAUCAUCAGAAGAGACAAGAGCUACUAGUUCCCAGGCUAGGGGUUGAAUCGGAGCUGUAGCCACCGGCCUACGCCAGAGCCAUAGCAAUGCGGGAUCCGAGCCGCGUCUGCAACCUACACCACAGCUCACGGCAACGCUGGAUCGUUAACCCACUGAGCAAGGGCAGGGACCGAACCCGCAAUCUCAUGGUUCCUAGUCGGAUUCGUUAACCACUGCACCACGACGGGAACUCCAAGACCCAGAUUUUAUUAAGUUUAUAAAGGAGGCCAAGUCUCCUGGAGCCUGGUGGCCCACGACAGAUUUGGGGAAGCUGCCAGAGGCGUGCUGUGGGGGCUGAGUGUCUGGGCUGGGAUUCAGUUCUGCCCCCAUGAGCUGUGUGACAUGGGGCAAGUUACCUAACCUCUCUGGGCUUUGCAUCCCACCUACAUGAGGCCAGGUUGUGUUGGCACCCCCAGGCAGCAGCACAGACCAAAGGAGACCCCACGGGAAGACCUCUGCUUCCUCACAUCCCAAGGCUUCCCUCUGUCAGAUCUCAGGGGUCCAAUCUUUUGCCCUCCUCCCCUCUGUGAUCCAGGCAGGAUCCAUCCGUCAAGCCUGGAUUUACUGUCCCAUCCGGUCACGGUCACGUGCUCCACCUGGUGCGUCCAAGCUGGCUCAACCCCGUCCAGUCCUUCCCCAGCCCCGGACCCUGCGUGUGACUCCGGCCUCCGCUCUGAACAGUCAGGGUCCCUCCCGCCCCUGUGACGGGCCCAGCAGUUUAAGGAGCUCAGGUGUGACUUCAUUUGGGUCUUGUCCCCAGGUUCCCUGCCCGCCUCCCCCCUCUGAUCACACAGGGACAGCGCAUUACUGGGCGGACCCUGGAGGGCAGGUCAGAGCAGCCCAUGGCAGGGGGUGCCUGCUGCCUCUGUGGGUUUCUGGGUGCCCUGGGCCAGACCACCUGCCCUCGCUCUCCCCCAGGAAUCCUUCACCUCCGGGAGGGUGUCUGAGCCUCCACGCGAUCUGGACAGGGGGAGGGUUCUGUCUCUAGAGCAUCUGCAGAGGACAGAGGCUGCCGUCCAUCCUCUUGCUGCACAGACAGUAAAGGUACAGAAAUACAGAGGAUAAAGGUAAACAUGGAGGAGUUCCCGCUGUGGCUCAAUGGAAACAAACUAGUAUCCCAGCUAGUAUCCAUGAGGAUGCCGGUUCAAUCCCUGCCUUGCUCAGCAGGUUAAGGAUCUUGCAUUGCUGUGAGCUGUGGUGUAGGUCACAGACACGGCUCAGAUCCUGUGUUGCUGUGGCUCCAGCUCCAAUUCAACCCCUAGCCUGGAAAUUUCCAUAUGCUGCAGGUGCAGCCCUGAAAAGCAGAAAUAAAUAAAUAAAUAAAUAGCUCCAAAUUGGAUGCAA
rnacentral:lncRNA from 1 species